CACAUUUUAAAUACCACUUUCCUGUUCACUUUUUUCUUCCAUCACCCUUAACACCAUCCACCCUUCAAGCUAUUUAGUGUUGCGGCCCCCAUCUACCAUCAUCGGCAAUUGCCCAUAACACCUACAAACAGCCGCAUGCCCAGCAGCCACCAUCGCAAGCACCAUCACUCCCUUGCGCACCAACUUGCACAGCUCUGCCCUGCUCACACACCUUACUGCUCGCGCGCCAUCGCUGUUGCUUCUAGCACCCUAGCAUUCGCACGCCAUCGCUGCUACUUCCAGCUCCUUAGCCUUUGUGCACCGCAGCUACUCCUUGUCCUUGACACGUGCACAGCCUUGCUUCAAACACACUACCCGCGUGAGCUUUGCUACCUUUACACCACGACACCAUCACAAUUAGCCACAACCAUCAAGUCACCAAAUAAUCUCCCUCCAACCAACUCUAAAAUAACAUUAUUAGCUUCAAAC
rnacentral:lncRNA from 1 species